rnacentral:lncRNA from 1 species
CCCGACUGCAUGCUACCAGCUGACGAGAAGAGCGUCUUCUGGGGUAAAUAUUGUGCAGGCACUUAAUCGAAAUCUUCCAAAAUCAUGACACCGAGGAGAGUUAUAGCUGGUGUGCUCUUUGCCAUUAUCGCCCUGAGCCAACUUCGCCCCGGUGGCGGAGCAUGCCCUGGCACCGAAACGCAGUGCAAUGCCGGCUGCUGUCCCCUGAAGAAUGCAGUCUGUUGCUCGGACAAUCAGCACUGCUGCCUCACUGGCUACGUAUGUGACCCCCCUUACUGUAUCGGCGAAGCCGGCAGCUCACCCGUUCCGGCGGAAGACAUUGAAUAAGCUCAUAUUCGACGUGUGUUCCCUCGCCUUUCUCGGUCUGCGCUUUCCCGAUGUGAAUCCUUUGGAGGGACAUUUGUGGCCGUUAACACGCCUCGGCGAUCCUCAAGCCGCCUCGCUGAAUUUCAUCUAGUUUUCUGCAACUCUCAGCCUGCGUCUUUGUGUUUAAAUAAACAAAAAUAUUACAGAA